UACGAAGGGGGCUAGCGUUGCUCGGAAUCACUGGGCGUAAAGCGCACGUAGGCGGCUUUCUAAGUCAGGGGUGAAAUCCUGGAGCUCAACUCCCAGAACUGCCUUUGAUACUGGAGAGCUUGAGUCCGGGAGAGGUGAGUGGAACUCCGAGUGUAGAGGUGAAAUUCGUAGAUAUUGGGAAGAACACCGAUGGCGAAGGCAGCCAUCUGGACCGACACUGACGCUGAGGCGCGAAAGCGUGGGGAGCAAACAGG
rnacentral:rRNA from 1 species